rnacentral:rRNA from 1 species
UACGUAGGGGGCUAGCGUUGUCCGGAAUCAUUGGGCGUAAAGAGCGUGUAGGCGGUCCGGUAAGUCCGCUGUGAAAGUCGGGGGCUCAACCCUCGAAUGCCGGUGGAUACUGUCGGGCUCGAGUCCGGAAGAGGAGUGUGGAAUUCCUGGUGUAGCGGUGAAAUGCGCAGAUAUCAGGAGGAACACCAAUGGCGAAGGCAGCACUCUGGGACGUGACUGACGCUGAGACGCGAAAGCGUGGGGAGCGAACAGG